ACACUCCUACGGGAGGCAGCAGUAGGGAAUCUUCCACAAUGGGUGCAAACCUGAUGGAGCAAUGCCGCGUGAGUGAAGAAGGUCUUCGGAUCGUAAAGCUCUGUUGUUAGAGAAGAACACGUGCUAGGUAACUACUAGCGCCUUGACGGUAUCUAACCAGAAAGUCACGGCUAACUACGUGCCAGCAGCCGCGGUAAUACGUAGGUGACAAGCGUUGUCCGGAUUUAUUGGGCGUAAAGGGAGCGCAGGCGGUCUGUUUAGUCUAAUGUGAAAGCCCACGGCUUAACCGUGGAACGGCAUUGGAAACUGACAGACAUGAAUGUAGAAGAGGAAAAUGGAAUUCCAAGUGUAGCGGUGGAAUGCGUAGAUAUUUGGAGGAACACCAGUGGCGAAGGCGAUUUUCUGGUCUAACAUUGACGCUGAGGCUCGAAAGCGUGGGGAGCGAACAGGAUUAGAUACCCUUGUAGUCCCA
rnacentral:rRNA from 1 species